rnacentral:rRNA from 1 species
UACGUAGGGUGCAGGCGUUAAUCGGAAUUACUGGGCGUAAAGCGUGCGCAGGCGGUUUCUUAAGUCAGAUGUGAAAGCCCCGGGCUUAACCUGGGAACUGCGUUUGAAACUGGGAGACUUGAGUGUGGCAGAGGGGGGUGGAAUUCCACGUGUAGCAGUGAAAUGCGUAGAUAUGUGGAGGAACACCAAUUGCGAAGGCAGCUUACUACACAGUUAUUGACACUGAGGCACGAAAGCGUGGGGAUCAAACAGG